rnacentral:rRNA from 3 species
AGAUUGAACUGAAGAGUUUGAUCCUGGCUCAGAUUGAACGCUGGCGGCAUGCCUUACACAUGCAAGUCGAACGGCAGCGCG